rnacentral:rRNA from 1 species
UACGAAGGGUGCAAGCGUUACUCGGAAUUACUGGGCGUAAAGGGUGCGUAGGUGGUUUGUUAAGUCUGCUGUGAAAUCCCCGGGCUCAACCUGGGAAUGGCAGUGGAUACUGGCAAGCUAGAGUGCGGUAGAGGGUAGUGGAAUUCCCGGUGUAGCAGUGAAAUGCGUAGAGAUCGGGAGGAACACCAGUGGCGAAGGCGGCGACCUGGAGCUUUGCUGACGCUGAGGCGCGAAAGCGUGGGGAGCGAUCCGG